CUGUUAUGAACCAGCUGGACAUGGGCCAGAGGCCACCCACUGUCCCACCCUUCCUCUGUGGGGGUCAGGCUCCGGCCAGGGUCAGCUAAAGGUCCUUGGAGAGCCCGAGGAGCAAAGCCCCUGAGUUUAGAGAAGAGGCACGAGUCUGGGGCCGGGGCAGAUGACAGGAGCCUUGGAGACUCUUAGCCAGGGCCUGAGAGGGCACAGGGCGGGAAAGGGGCAGAGACAGGGCCUCAGAGGGUGAGGAGCUGGGUGGGCCAGGGACAAACCUGCACCUGUCACCAGCUGAGGAAACCAGGCCAGAGUCAAGGAGCCAGAUUCCCAGAAAGUCUGGCAAAGCCCGGUGUGUAUUUCGGGCUUGGAUCUGCCAGGGCUACACCUGGCCCCGCCUAACAGCCCUCCUUUGUUGGAACAUUUUCCUUAUCUUUGCUUUCCUGAGGUCUUUUAUUUAAAGCAUGUGGUUUGCUGAGUGACUGAAGGUGGGCCCUUUCCCAGGAGCUUGGUGGAAAGUGUUUCCAGAGACUACCUUCCCAGGUCUGUUUUCUCACCUGAGUGGGGGGUAAAUGCAACCAUGUGGAGUCUAGCGCAGUAGGUGCUCAAUUAAUGGUGAGUUGUUUUUCAGCCUCCUCCCUCCACCUUCCUGAAGGUUCCUUGUCCCUAUAAAGGAAGGAGAACGGCGGGACCCAAAGAUCAAAAGGAGUGUUGGAGCGCCCUCUGCUGGCCAAUGGUCACCAAGGCCCAAGUCAGAAACUGUGGAAGCCUCCAGCCAGGCCAGCUGGGGGCCCCCUGAGGACGGAGCUGUCAGCUUGCUGUCUCAUCUUCUGGGAGAAGGGAACAACCCCUGUCCCUGUGGGGAAGGGCAUCAGCAGCUGCCUGUGCACAUCUGUGUGGCAGGGACGCCACCCACACCUGACCCUCCUGCACUGCUCUGUCCUCCUGGCUGCCAGCCCUUGCCACAGGUUAUGUGCUGGAGGUGAGGUGGGAGGCCAGGGGAGGCUCUGCCCAGGCCUGGGAUGCAGACGCCAUGUCACCAUGUCACCUGCUGGAGUAGCUGCCAUGAGACAUAAUACUUCAUCCUCAGCCUCUAGUUCCCCCGGCAACCUAGUGAGGACAGGUUUCCAUUUCCUCCAAACACUACUUUUCAGGGCCGGUGGGUGACUUGGACCCAGGGCUCCAAGUCCCUUUUGUUCUUCCUUCUGCCUCUCCUGGUGUUGUAGCAUCUCCAUCUCAUCUGGUGCCUGAGCAGAGUUGACUGGGCCCCAGUACCAUGCACACCUGGAGUGACGGGGAACUUAGCACCCCUGAGCCAGGGACCGCCUGGAUUUGUGACUUGGAUCGCCUUGAGGAGGAUGUCAUCCUGCCUGUGGUUUCUCCCACUGCUCAGGAGCAAGGCUAUUCAACCUGCCACCUGGAGAUGUUCCCUGGUAGAACCCCAUCGCUGUCCCUUCUCCUGGGAUCCCAGCAAAGACCAGCGUCGCCAUCAUCCUUGGCACGAUUGGCCCAGCCCCAGGCUUUUAGAUGAGGGUCCAUCCUGAGCCUGCCUGUCACCUCCCGUUGGCUGAUUCCCGAUCGUUGUCUCUGUUCUUUCUUCCUCUGUCACCCUUGCCCCUCUGCUCAGCGUGCCCCUCAGCCCUUUGAAUUACCCCAGUAGCCUCCUAUGGGCCUCCCUGACUCUGGUUUUGUCCCCAGGGCCACCAUCCACUCCACAGCCCACGUGAUUUUCCUAAAAAGCCUCACUGCCAGCUCCAGUGUCCCUGGGGGAUGGUCUCAGUCUGUCUGUGGGAGGCCUCUCAGCGCUGCCCUUCUGCUCUCAGCCCUGGGAGCUGUCCCUCCCCCCUGAUGGCUCUGCCACCUUUGCUUUGCAAAUGUGUGAGCACUUGGUCAGGGAGGGACAGGAGCCCUUUCAGCUGGCCAGGGCCGGGCCUCGGGGAGCAAGCUCAUGUGUCCUGUCUGUACGGGUGGAUGGUCCCCCCAGGAGAUGAGCAAGUGUCCCAGCUCAUGAACUAUGGGUCCAGGCGCACUGACAGUCUCUCUUUCUCUCCUUCAAGUUCCUGGGAGAACACACUGGCGAGUGUGAGCACUGAGUGUGAGCGCUGGCCGAGUGAACCCAGUGAGGCAAGGAACCCAAGUGCCCCCACGGCAGGCUUGACCACCUUCCCAGUGACCCUGCUCCCGAUUCUCAGGGCACCUGGGUUCACCAUGGAUAGUGGACAAUGUCUGUUCAGGACUCCCUUCUCCUAGACCCCCGCCUUCGUAACAUGUGGCAGCCAUUGAUUGGCUCAGGAGAAGGCACCUGGUCUGUUUGGGCCAGCUAUUGCCUUAAUCCUGGCCAGAGCUACCAGGAUGCAGGAUAUGAGAACAGAUCCUUUCCCUGUGGAGUUUUUGAAUCUGGGAUCCAGGGACUAGUGGUGGAUCCCUGUCACGCAUGGAAAGCAGCAGGAAUUAAAACUCAGAAGCUCUUGGAGGCUAUGUGGGUGGAACAUGGGGAUUUCUGCCCUCAGCUGCAGGUGAUAGCUUCCUGAUUUUCUUUUGGGAAGUCCCUCUCUGCCCUUCCUUGUGAUUUGAUGGGACUUUCAGUCCAUCAACUGGACUGGCCAAUCAGAUUCUCUCCUGGGAGUUUGGAGCCUGCAGAGAAACCCAUAGGCAAGGUGGUUGGGCUUGGCUACCUUGCCAUUUCCUCAGUUGAAGCACUAGUGCAGUGAGCAUGCUUAUUCCACUCACUGGGAUUCACCACCUGGUAAUUUAUUUACAUACACAAUUUUUUUAAAAAUAUUUUUUUUGGUGGGGAGGGGUAACUGGAGAUUGAACUCAGGGGCACUCGACCACUAAGCCACAUCCCAGCCCUAUUUUGUAUUUUAUUUAGAGACAGGGUCUCACUGAGUUGCUUAGUGCCUCGCUUUUGCUGAGUCUGGCUUUGAACUCGUGGUCCUCCUGCCUCAGCCUCCCCAAGCCUCUGGGAUUACAGGUGUGUGCCACCGCAUCCAACAUUUUUUUUUUCAUUUACAAGUAACACUUCAUUCAUGCCCCUUUAGCAAAUUCUCCUAAGAGUAAGGGAACCCUCCUCCUAACCAUCACAGGGUUUGGAUAUCUAUUGUUCCUUAAUGAAUCACCCCAGUACUUAGUGGCUUCAAACAAAAGCAGCAAUUAUAGUAUUUAUUUGGGUCCUGUGAUUAGCAGGUGGCUUUCGCCCAGGAUCUCUCCGGGGAUUAUAGUCCAAGUGUCCCCCCUGCACAUAUCUGGUGGCUGAGGCUGCCUGUGGCUGGGGACUUGAGCUGGGCUAUUCACCAGAACACCUUGGAUGGCCUCUUCAUGAGGCCUGGGCUUCCUUACAUCAUGGUAUCUGGGCUCCAAGAGUCAGGAUCUCAAGAAGCAGGAAGUGGAAGGUGCCGGCUUCUUCAGGUCUGGUCCCAAACACUGGCAGUGUCAUUUCUUCUGUAUUCUAUUGGUCAAGAAGUCACAGACCAGGGCUGGGGUUGUGGCUCAGCAGUAGAGUGCUCGCCUGGCAUGUUUGUUCAGGGCGCUGUGUUAGAUCCUUAGCCCCACAUAAAAAUAAAAAUAAAGGUAUUAUGUCUAACUACAACUAAAACAAAAUAUUGAAAAAAAAAAAGAAGUCACAGAUCCCAGAUUUGGGGACUUAGCCCCAUUUCUUGAUUGGAGGAGUGUCAAAGAAUUUGUGUGUUGUGUUUAAAACUGCUGCAUACCCCAUCGAUUUAAUGUUUAUAGAGUAAUAUUACCUAAAACAAGUCCACAUUUAACUUUGCAUUAAUAAUGUUAUUUAUAACUAUUUUUAAAAAUCUAGUCUGCAAUCCAGGAUUAUGCAAUACAUUUAAUUGUCAUUAGUUGUGGGAAACCAACCUUGUACAUGACGGAGUCUCACUCCCCAGCUGGAUGGUGAGGUGCUCAGUCACAGAAAUGUGGCAGAGCUUUCCCCACCCUCUUGGGUUCGAGGGUAGGUGUCUCGUGCAUGGGUGUGUCUUGCUACAGCCCCAUGGGUGAAGCUAUGCUCACCUGUUCCUUUGUAAUAUAACCCCUUGCUCUGUUUAGGAUAGAAUCUUCCAUGGAAGUGCCUUGUGUGUGUCCCCUUCUCUUACUGUGCCCUU
rnacentral:lncRNA from 1 species